GACGAACGCUGGCGGCGUGCUUAACACAUGCAAGUCGAACGCUGAAGCUCAGCUUUUGUUGGGUGGAUGAGUGGCGAACGGGUGAGUAACACGUGAGUAACCUGCCCCCUUCUUUGGGAUAACGCCCGGAAACGGGUGCUAAUACUGGAUAUUCACUGGUCUUCGCAUGGGGGUUGGUGGAAAGGGUUUUUCUGGUGGGGGAUGGGCUCGCGGCCUAUCAGCUUGUUGGUGGGGUGAUGGGCUACCAAGGCUUUGACGGGUAGCCGGCCUGAGAGGGUGACCGGUCACAGUGGGACGGAGAUGCGGCCCAGACUCCUACGGGAGGCAGCAGUGGGGAAUAUUGCACAAUGGGCGCAAGCCUGAUGCAGCGACGCCGCGGGAGGGAUGGAGGCUUUCGGGUUGUGAACCUCUUUCGCUCAUGGUCAAGCCGAAACAAUGGUUGUGGUGAGGGUAGUGGGUAAAGAAGCGCCGGCUAACUACGUG
rnacentral:rRNA from 1 species